rnacentral:rRNA from 1 species
GGUGAGUAACGCGUGGAUAACCUGCCUUGUACAGGGGGAUAACGGAGAGAAAUUUCCGCUAAGACCGCAUAAGACCACAGCACCGCAUGGUGCAGGGGUAAAAUAUUUAUAGGUAUAAGAUGGAUCCGCGUCCGAUUAGCUAGUUGGUGAGGUAGAGGCUCACCAAGGCGACGAUCGGUAGCCGAUCUGAGAGGAUGACCGGCCACAUUGGGACUGAGACACGGCCCAAACUCCUACGGGAGGCAGCAGUGGGGAAUAUUGCACAAUGGGGGCAACCCUGAUGCAGCGACGCCGCGUGAGUGAAGAAGUAUUUCGGUAUGUAAAGCUCUAUCAGCAGGGAAGAUAAUGACGGUACCUGACUAAGAAGCCCCGGCUAACUACGUGCCAGCAGCCGCGGUAAUACGUAGGGGGCAAGCGUUAUCCGGAUUUACUGGGUGUAAAGGGAGCGUAGACGGAAUGGCAAGUCUGAAGUGAAAACCCCGGGCUCAACCUGGGAACUGCUUUGGAAACUGUUGUUCUAGAGUGUUGGAGAGGUAAGUGGAAU